rnacentral:rRNA from 1 species
GGGCCCGCACAAGCGGUGGAUUAUGUGGAUUAAUUCGAUGCAACGCGAAAAACCUUACCUGGCCUUGACAUGUACCGAAUUUAGCAGAGAUGCUUUAGUGCUCGUAAGAGAACGGUAACACAGGUGCUGCAUGGCUGUCGUCAGCUCGUGUCGUGAGAUGUUGGGUUAAGUCCCGCAACGAGCGCAACCCUUGCCAUUAAUUGCCAUCAUUUAGUUGGGCACUUUAAUGGGACUGCCGGUGACAAACCGGAGGAAGGUGGGGAUGACGUCAAGUCCUCAUGGCCCUUAUGGCCAGGGCUUCACACGUAAUACAAUGGACGGUACAGAGGGACGCCAACCCGCGAGGGGGAGCCAAUCCCAGAAAGCCGUUCGUAGUCCGGAUUGUUGUCUGCAACUCGACAACAUGAAGUCGGAAUC